CCCGGCCAUACUUCUGCGAUCCUGAGUUUUGGGGUGUCCUGGAACUCUGGCUUGGCCUCUCUGAGUGUCUCCAUCUCUCAGUGCCUCUGAGGCCCUGUCUCUACGUGGAUGUCUCUCAUCCCGGGAUGCUGAAGUUUGAAAAGCCUCCACCCCCACCUCCAGCCUUGAGAGAGGGAAGGAAUUGGAAGGGCGUGGAUGGGAUAAGGACUCGGUGUUCGGAGACCCAAGCGCUCCACCGUGCCCACUAAGCCUUCCCAUUGGAAACAGGGGACAGAGGUGGUCAUAAGGGUCCCAUCCUCUUGCAAGGCCAGCAAUCAUCUCGGUUCCUGGGGACUUUCUGUCGAACCACCUGGACCAUAAAAGACAAACCAGAGGCUUCUCCAAGUGGGGCCGGGCUUCAGAAAGCCCUUCUGCAAGGAGCCAAAUAUUUCAGAUGGCUAAGGGAGUGGCCUGGCCUCAGUCUGCUCAACUAAAUCACCAGUUCCAAGACAGCAGGGAAUAAUAAAGAUAAAAAUAAUAUAAUAACAACAGCCAACAUGUAUUGAAGGCUUAUUUAUGUACCAGGCAUUGUGCUAAGCACUUUACAGGCUUUAUCUAAUUUGUUCCCCGUAAGACCCCUACGGGGAAGUUACAGCUGAUAUCCCCAUUUUACAGCUGAGGAAAACAGGCUUAAUAAGGAUAGCUAGCAUGGAGUGAGGGCUCACUGCAUGCCAGGCCCUGUGCUGACUUCUCUCCAUACAGUGUCAAUGACCCUAUAAGGUUAGUACGAGUAUUAGUGCCAUUUAACAGAAGAGGAAACAGAGGCUCAGAGAGGUCCAGUAACUUGUUCAAAGUCACACAGCCAGUAAGCAGAACUUGGCCAGGAAUUCAAGUCUGCCUGACAGCAAAGCUUUUGAUCCUAAUCCCUAGGAUUAGGGAUUUUCUUGACUCCUUUCUCUGUGUUUCUCCAACUCCGGUAGCCCCACAGC